UCGUGGAACCCAGUCAGACGACG
rnacentral:piRNA from 1 species